GAUAAACGCUGGCGGCGCACCUAAGACAUGCAAGUUGAACGGACUUAAUCGAAAUAUUUAUAUUUUGAAGCGGUUAGUGGCGGACUGGUGAGUAACGCGUAAGGAACCUGCCUAUUAGAGGGGAAUAACAGUGAGAAAUCAUUGCUAAUACCGCAUAUGCCAUAGAUAUCACAUGAUAACAGUGGGAAAGGAGCAAUCCGCUAAUAGAUGGCCUUGCGUCUGAUUAGAUAGUUGGUGGGGUAACGGCCUACCAAGUCGACGAUCAGUAGCCGGACUGAGAGGUUGAACGGCCACAUUGGGACUGAGAGACGGCCCAGACACCUACGGGAGGCAGCAGUCGGGAAUAUUGCGCAAUGGAGGAAACUCUGACGCAGUGACGCCGCGUAUAGGAAGAAGGUUUUCGGAUUGUAAACUAUUGUCGUUAGGGAAGAGAAAGGACAGUACCUAAGGAGGAAGCUCCGGCUAACUACGUG
rnacentral:rRNA from 1 species